rnacentral:rRNA from 1 species
GAUGAACGCCGGCGGCGUGCCUAAUACAUGCAAGUCGAGCGAACAGACGAGGAGCUUGCUCCUCUGACGUUAGCGGCGGACGGGUGAGUAACACGUGGAUAACCUACCUAUAAGACUGGGAUAACUUCGGAAAACCGGAGCUAAUACCGGAUAAUAUAUUGAACCGCAUGGUUCAAUAGUGAAAGACGGUUUUGCUGUCACUUAUAGAUGGAUCCGCGCCGCAUUAGCUAGUUGGUAAGGUAACGGCUUACCAAGGCAACGAUGCGUAGCCGACCUGAGAGGGUGAUCGGCCACACUGGAACUGAGACACGGUCCAGACUCCUACGGGAGGCAGCAGUAGGGAAUCUUCCGCAAUGGGCGAAAGCCUGACGGAGCAACGCCGCGUGAGUGAUGAAGGUCUUCGGAUCGUAAAACUCUGUUAUUAGGGAAGAACAAAUGUGUAAGUAACUAUGCACGUCUUGACGGUACCUAAUCAGAAAGCCACGGCUAACUACGUG